GUGACAUCUCUCCAGCCAUGUGGAACUAGCACGGUCAAGUUCACUGCAGGUGCUACCCAGUCAACAUCGAGAACCUGCAUUUAACCAGGCCCAUUUGUCCUCUGCUUAUUACACAUCCUGUUUAAUAAAAAGACGGCUCAAGGACUAUGUAUCUCAAACGCUAACAUCUGACAGGCCGAGAAGCUGGAGAGAGGGGCUCCUGGCUUCUCAAAGAUCAUUUGGUGGUUUGGCAGGAGAACUUGGAGUGAAAGUUUUUCAACUGGUCCAACGGAGACAGACUUGUCAGUAAUCACAGAGAUCUACAGCGUCUUUCACCAAUCUUAAGAAGUAACUUCCCACCCUAUCUGCAUUAUAAUAUCCCACAGCAUAGAGACAGUGACAGUAGCCAAAUUGGUGGAAAUAAGUUCAAGCUUGAAGAAAGAAAGGACUUUGAAUGGCAAUGAGUCAACCACUUCGUCAGUGAAUAUUUUUGUGUUACAAUGACUUCUGCUUCCUUAUACAACUUCUUAACCGCAGGCCACAGGCAUUUUGAGUAUACUUCCAAUUUUGGAAAAAGGAAAAAGUAGCUUUAAAAUGCACAUGGAAGCUUGGAGGAAUAUACUGAAAGGCUGAAGUUCAUGUCUAGGAAUCAGAUGACUGGUGGGUUGCACUGAUAUUUAUUAUUUGUAUUUUUCAGAAGUUUAA